GAGGGCGGAGCCAGAGAGCAGUGAUUGGUCAGACCAUAGAUAAUAUAGAAGACAGCGCGCUAGCGUAUCUAGUCUAUGUAUAUCUAUGGUCGGCACGUCUGGUAGCAUCUCUGGCUGCUGUUGAUCUUGUUUUUGGAGUAAAACACGGUGGAAGCUGAAUUAGUGAGGAUGACUCCUGCUCCUGUCAUCUCUAAGCUCCUCACACAUCUUUACCUGCACAUGAGGAAAAUCACUCCUGUAGAAUGCAGAUGUUCAGAUGGAGAUGAUGCCACAUCUGGUCCAGCUGAUGGAAGGUCUUGAAGUUCUCUGACUGGCCUCGACUGAAGAUGGUCGUCUCACUGGAUUUAAGGUUCAGAUGCUCAGUAACAAACUCCACCAAUGAGCCAACAGGAAGCUUUAGGUUUAUUAAAUGUUGCUAUGAAGGUAUCGCUGUUUUUCUUUGUGAAUGCAAUGUGCUCCAACUGAAACUUGAAUUAGAACUUAGAAGUAAAUCCUUCCAUCUGAAAGGAUUUAGUUGCAUUAAUAACCUCAUAACAUUCUAAUUUUUAUUCCAGUCUUGGUUGGAAAUAGAAUCUCUGUAUUGAUUCAGGUAAAAACUGAACUUCACAGCAUGUUGGAGCAAAACAACCAGAUGAAAACUGUGAUGGUGUUGGAUUGUCAGACCGUAAUGUUGCAGCGCAAAGCAGCUUUUCUAGCUCAGUUCAUUCUGACAUUCAGCUAUGAAUCAACACAGCAGAUGGUGAUCCAUGCUGUGGAAGUCUCACAUCUCCUGAUUUAAUGGAGCUGCUUUGCACUUUUUACACUGUUUAUUCACCAACACUUUAUUUAAUAAAAGUCCCAUCUAGUUUUUAUGAGGAAUGUGAUGUUUUAAUUUCUCUGUGAAUAACUGCAGUCUAAUGUAACAGCUGGAGUUGUAACAUCUGUCCUGAUAUUGAUCAUGAAGUAUUGAUCAGAAUACUUAUGGUUAGCAGUCAUCCCUGAAGUUUUACAUUAAAAUCUUUACUUGUGUUGUGAACUUUGGUAAGAAACAGAAACGUUAGCGUUGCCAUGGAUACAUGAGUGUUAAAUUCUGUCCAUGUUUCCAUUUUGGGAAAUGCAGUCCAGUUCCAGAAUGUGGAGGAAUUUAGUCUCACAAUCACAGACAACAAAUAUUAUCUGAAAGUUGGGUUAUUGUUGUUUAUCAGCACAAUACAAAGAUUGUUAGAAAUAUUCCAGUUAAGACUCUAGAAUAUCAUGAUUUAUGUAAAUUUACCUCAAUAAUAUGAAUGUUCAGGUUAAGAUUGUGCAGUGAUAUUUAUUAUGCAAGUUUAGCUGAUUAAAGUUUAUGACUCUGCACUAAAAUAUUAUUUAAAUUGACAUCAUUAUUAUAAUAUUUAGGGUCAGACCCUACAGUAUUGAGAUUAAGAAAUCAAAUAUUCUAUAAAAUGUAAAUACACUGAACUCAUUUGGAUAUAUUUAAGUGAGACUCUACAAUAUUAUUUGACACAAAUCUAUCUAAAUCAAAAUUUUAAUAAUUUUCACGCCAAACAUUUACUGGACUGAUUUAAAUAUUAAAAUCACUCCUUUCUAAUCCUCUGCUGUACGUUCAAACCUGAGGCCUUAAAUAGAAACACACAAGUAUCUGAUUGAAGGAACUUCUGCAGAGUCCUGGUUCUAGAACAUGAUGAUAGAAUUAUAGACAAACUUUAACAAAAGCUGCCUGAGAGUUUACAGGUUUUAAUGUUAGAUUUCUUCUGUAAUUUAAUGAGUUAUCAGCAAUAAUCAAGUGUUUAUUUGAUGAACUUCAUUUCCUAAAACAUCCAGAAUUGGAGUUCAUAUCUUUGGCAGCUGUAAAGUUUCUGCUCCUUCAAAGUUCACAACACAAUGAAUUAAUUCCUAAAACACUCUCAGUGCUGGAGAACAUUUGAUGCUGAAGCAGUGACCAGUUUUUCUGUUUCUUCUCUGGAGAUGCACAAUGAGGGACGUCUGCAGAGACUGAGAAAGAGUCUCACCACAUCCUGACAUGAGGAAAAAGACUUUAUUGAAGACUACAAUGAGAAAAACUAUCAGACAGCAGACGGCUGCAUUCAAGGUGAGCUCUGAACAUUUGAUCUGGAACAGGAAUUCAAUAACGGCAGCAUGAGCUUCAUUUCAGUCUGUAGCUGCUGAAUUCAUGGAUGAAUCAUCUGGCACUAGAGAAGAAGACCAUCAAACAUCCACGUCAGCUGAUGGAGGUCCAAGAGUCUCACCCAACAAACAACCUACAGAGUGAAGACCUCAAAUCUGAUUGGACGGCCUCCUAUUCAGCCACAUUUUAGACUGUUAGAUUGUUCCAGAUAAGACAAGUACAAGAUUCUUCAGAGCCGUUCUACCACGAGCCUGACAGGAAGAACUCCAACAGCUACUGAAUGUUCCUGUGGUUCCCUCAAGGCUACAGGAGGAGUCCUACGAGGACGAGCUGGUCCACCUGAUGGUGGCAAGUCGCUGUGGUUCAAAGCCAACACCGACUACGUGGACUUCUACUGGACCACACAGAGGCCUUCAAACCGGACCAACAAGUUCACCGACUCCCCGACUCGUGGGUCUGAGGACGCCGCCGAGCCUCGGUCCAGCCGGCCUCCUGUCUGUGGAUGUUUGAGUGCUGAGAGGUUUGUGGAUGCAUGUGAAUGUGUCUGUGUUGAAACAGCAGCUUUUGACUCAGUAACGCUGGGAAAAACCAAGAGCUCCUUUAUUUUUGACUUCCACUAAAAUACUGAUGAAAAUAAGUUUGCCAGGGUUCUGAUUGAUAAUAGAUUAUUAAAUAAUGAAAAUAAUCAUUUAAAUAUUCCUUUAAACAAUCCUUUUAGGUCUACAUUUCCUUUACACUGACUUCUUGGAAUAUGCACAAGUAUUUUGGGUGGAAUAUACCAUUAAGCCUGAUGUUCAAGGGUUCUUCUGGGAAUAUACCAUUAAACCAACCUUUUAGGUAAAUGUUCCAGGAUGUUGGGUAGAAUAUACCAUCAGAUCAACCUUUUAGGUCUACAUUGGAAGAUUUUAGAGUAGAAUCUUAUUCCAAACCAUCCUUUAGGUCUACAUUUAAGGUGGAAUACUCCUUUACACCAAGAUUUUUUGGUCUACAUUUAAAGAUUUUAGGUGAAAUAUUCCUUUGAACGAACUUUUUAAGUUUAUGUUCAAGGAUGUUGGGUGGUAUAUACCAUCAGACCAACCUCCAAGGUCUACAGUAGUGAAUUUUAGGUGGAAUAUACCAUUAAACUCGCCUUUUAGGUCUACAUUAGAGGAUUUUAGGUGGAAUUUUCUUCCAAACCGUCUUUUAGUCUACAUUUAAGGAUGUUUAGGAUGGUAUAUUCUUCCGAACCAAUUUCUCAGGUCUACAUUUCAGGUGGAAUAUUCCUCCAUACUAACUUUUUUGGUCUGCAUUGAAGGAUUUUUUCUAAACCACACUUUCUGGUCUUUAUUUGAGGAUUUAGGUGGAACAUUCCUUUUAACCAGCCCCUCAGGUCUCUUUGAGGAUUUUGGAUGGAAUACUCGGUUAAACCAACAUUUUAGGUGCAUGUCCAAGGAUUUUUGGUGGAAUGUUCCUUUAAGUUGAAUGUGUGAGGACCUUGUAGGUGGAAUACUUCCUGAAACCAACCUUUUAGGUCAACAUUCAAAGAUUUAAGGUGGAAUAUUCCUUUAAACCAACCUAAAUUUCAUGUUUUGAUCAUUGUCAAAUGAGAAACUUCAAUCCAGACUCUUCAUAAUGACGUUCGAGAUUUAUGCUGCUGUUAUUUGUUUAGUCCAGACUAAAUGACAGAAAUCCACAACUGUAAUUUUAUUUCAGGACUUGGUUAUUAAAUGUCAGAACAAUCCAUGUGACUCGUAAAACUCAACAGCUGUACAAACUCUAAGAUUAAACUCUCCACAAGGAUCCAAAAUAGGUUGGACUUCUACAUGAGAGCCUUAAUUAUUCUUCAUCUACUUCCUGAAAAGGUUGGUCAAUAAAAAAGACAAAAACUAAUAUUUUCAGUUGAACUAAAGACAGACUUUGUGAUUUUUCUGCUCACAUGUUGUGUUGUUGUAAACUUCCUCUUUCAAAUAAA